rnacentral:misc_RNA from 1 species
CCAUCAGUCGUGGUUAUGCGGGAAGCAUCAUUGAAUACCAGGACUUUAUGGUUUGCAACUAUUCUCCACCUCCAUCAAUCAACAAUAGCAUCAAGAUGGAAGUCGGAAUUGAAGAUUGCCUACAUAUUGAGUUUGAGUACAAUAAAAGCAAGUACCAUCUCAAAGAUGUGAUCAUUGGCAAGAUAUAUUUUCUUCUUGUAAGAAUCAAGAUAAAGAAUAUGGAUCUUGAGAUAAGGCGCCGAGAAUCAACAGGAGCAGGGGCCAAUACACAUGUUGAAACAGAGACACUAGCAAAAUUUGAGUUGAUGGACGGAGCUCCAGUCAGAGGUGAAUCAAUUCCAAUCAGACUCUUCCUUAGCCCUUAUGAACUGACACCAACACACCGCAACAUUAACAACAAAUUCAGUGUGAAGUAUUAUUUAAACCUUGUCCUGGUUGAUGAAGAGGAUCGACGCUACUUUAAGCAGCAAGAAAUUACAAUAUACAGGUUGCAGGACAAUUCCUGAUUAAGUAUAUCAUCCCAUUCCCAUGAGAAGAGUCUAGAAGAUAACUGCAUUGUGACACAUUGUAAAAUCUUAAAGAUUAAAGAUUUAAAUUGUUGGAGCAAGGGUCCUGUUUCUUGGAUCGGUAUCGAAUGUCUUUGUAUACUUGCACAGUCAUUGCCUUGACUGUACAACUGCUGAAAUUAUGUAAAUUGGCAAAGUAUGGGUUGUGAAAGAUCUGGAUUUUCUUUUACGAUUAAACAGCUGAUUACGACUUGCCAUUGCCACGUAUGCCUGCUGUCCCAGCAAGGCUACGACUUGNNAUGACUUGUUUUUAGCUUUAAGACAUGAUUACGAACAAUUUUUACCUGUUUUUAUUGCCCAUCUGAU